GUGGCUUCUCAUUCUGGGCCUGGCUCUCCACCUGCACACCCGAUCCACAUUCCACUAAUCAAGACUCUGCAGCAUAUCAACCCGGUUCUUCACCUCACUUGUCGCCAGAUUGUCAGCUUAACUCAGUGGAUCACUGCCUGCCUGGAGGUUCUGCCAUCUGUCACGCUCCGCUCACUGCCUGCCUGGAAACUCACUCGCUGGUCUCUGUUCCCUGGUCUGCCCUCUGCUCUGCUCUUGCAACCCUUUUCAAUAAACUUAAAAUUCCUGGA